UUUACAUAUAAUACAUAUACAUUUAAAUAUAUAUAUUUAUAUAUCAAUGAGGUCAUUUUUAUUUAAAACUUGUUAAAGGAAAGAGUUCCUCCUCUGACAGAAGAAUCUAUUUGUUCAACUCACUGUGUCUCUAUUUUAAACGUAUGUUCUAGAACAAUGACACAUCUCUUCCUUUUAGAGUAUUUAGUACAUCCACGAAUUUUCUGGUGCUUUUAAAAAACAAAAAAAAAUUACAAUGCAGCUUUCACAAAGAACACAAAUUUUAAGUGUUCAGACUAAUGGAAUUUUACAUAUGUAUCCAUCUAUGUGCUGUUAAGUAUACACACUUGAAGUAUGGGGUUUUUUUUCCAUACAUACAACUAUCCUUUUAUGAUGUCUGUUUUCAUUCUACUCUACAACUCUGUAAUUAAAAAAAAAGGCAGUCAUGAGGAGCAAGGGGUGGGAAUAAGGAGAAGAAGGGAAUGAAUAUUGACUGAGUGCUUCUUUGUGUCAGGUGUCCUAUUUGAAACCUCACACCUACUAUCUGGUUUAAUAAUUAGACAAACACAGUGGGGUCAGUCAUGUUAUCCUCCUUUUCUCCUUUUUUUUUUUUUUUUAAGUAAGAUUAGCCCUGAGCUAACAUCUGCUGCCAAUCCUCCUCUUUUUGCUGAGGAAGACUGGCCCUGAGCUAACAUCGUGCCCAUCUUCCUCUACUUUAUAUGUGGGAUGCCUACCAUAGCAUGGCUUGCCAAGUGGUGCCAUGUCUGCACCUGGGAUCCAAACCGGCAAACCCCGGGCCGCCAAAGCAGAAGGUGCACACUUAACCGCUGCGUCACCAGGCCAGCCCCUAUCCUCCUUUUAAAGAUGAAUAAAGUAGGUUGCAGAGCGGCUAAGUAAUUUGUCUGUGGUCAUACAGUUAGACAGAAUUUGAAAGUAGGUCUUUGAUAACAAAGCUUUACUCUUUGUCCUAGAUAGUUACCAGGAAGCCGUGAUGUAGUCUUUUAACUUGUGUCCCUGCUGCAGACAACUUCUGCUCUAUCUCACUGGACCCGUCUCAGGAGCCUUGUGAAUUGUGUCUCAAAAAUGCCUGCCUGGAAGACAAAAGAGGGAAGAGUAUAUUCAUUGGCUUCUGUUAUCUAUUAGUCAAGGGUGGUCCCACGGUAUUAAUCACCCUCUUACUUCUGGGUUGUAAUGUGUUAAUGCCAAGCAGGUUCCCCUAGGUGUACCGCAUAAGAGAAGACCUGGGACAGGAUGCAAGAGGUGUGUGAUGAGGGCGCAGGUAAGACACUAUCGGAUUACACCCAUGGACGCUGGACCAAGACGACAGGGAACUCAAUGGCACAGCAGCGGCUGCAGUGGGAGACGAGGCUGAGAGGAAGUGAAGUGGUGCGUGACAGGUAUCCAGUACGCAUGCUGAGAAUGUUUUGGUACUGCAGACCCAGAGCAGGAAACAGUUUUCUAAUAACAUGCCUCUUCUUGUAGCAGAGGUUUCAGCCUGAACCCAGGCCUAUUCUUCUGUUGGAGUUUAUGUCCAGGCAUGUUUGGCAAAUUCAUGGAGCUGACCUGAGGGAGAGUUCUUUGUUCUUUUCCUUUAGGAAGGGGAAAGGGAUUUUUUUUUGAAGAGGAAGUGAGGCUUUCUUUCUUGUUUAAAAAAAUUAUUUUAUUGAGCUCAUAAUGGUUUAUAACAUUGUAAAAUUUCAUUUGUACAUUACUAUUUGUCGAUCUCCAUUUAUAUGUGCCCCUUUACCCCUUCUGGCCCCAUCCUCUUUCCCUCUGGUAACCACUAAUCUGUUCUUUUGUCCAUGUGUUUGUUUUUCUUCCACAUACAAAUGAAAGCAUAUGGUUUUUGUCUUUCUCUGUCUGGCUUAUUUUGCUUAACGUCAUAUCCUCAAGGUCCACCCAUGCUGUUGCAAAUGGGACAAUUUUGUCUUUUUUAUGCCUGAGUAGUAUUCCAUUGUAUAUAUACACCACAUCUUCUUUAUCCAUUCAUCAGCCAGUGGGCACUGGAUUGCUUCCAUAUCUUGGCUAUUGUGAAUAAUGCUGCAAUGAACACAGGGGUGCAUAAAUCUCUUUGAGUUGUUGAUUUCAAGUUCUUUGGAUAAUUACCCACUAGUGGGAUAGCUGGGUCAUAUGGUAUUUCUAUUUUUAGUUUUUUGAGGAACCUCCAUACUGUUGUCCAUAGUGGCUGCACCAGUUUGCAUUCCCACCAGCAGUGUAUGAGAGUUCGGGGAAAGGGAUUUUUAUGUAUAAGACCCUAAAGAGAGAUAUGAGAGAGAUGGAGGGAGCCAGUUGGUAGCUACCCCAUGACAAGGUCUGAACUCUAUGGAAAAACGGGCCUGGGCAGAAAGGGUGGGAUCUGGUUUAUGAGGGAUUCAGUACCUUGAUACCCAGCAGUACAAGCUCUUUAAAGGCCUUUAUGGGAAAGUGCAAUGUAGUCGGGGAGUCGGACAUUCUUCCCGCUUCUGCAUGGUUCCACAGGGAAGAUCAAAUGUUUAUAAAGCAAUAAACAGAGUUUGGGUGCUUCCAAGAAUGCCAUUCCAUGUGGCCUGAUUACCCUGUAUAUUUAGAGAGUGAGGAAGUUAUUUUAGGGACGUUAGUAGCUGUCAACAUUAGGGAUUGGCCAGUGGGGGGGUGGGACUGAGUCUGAACCAGCCUCCAGAGACAGCACAGGGGUGGUCCAACCAGGAGGCAAUAGGAAGAAGGCUUGGCAGGGGGUCAGAGUUCAGUAUCCGGCUGGAGAUAGUCUACUACUGGUAGCUAUUCAAUGAAAGAGUGGACAUCGAGUCAUGGGAAUUUGGUACAGGGAUUAUACCAAGAGAGGAAAUAGUAACAUUCCAGGUAAAGAGGAAAGAGCAUACAGAGUAGGAAUCCAAGAUGUAGCUCAGGAAGGCACAGGGAGGAGCCAAAUAGAAUCCAGAAUGGAUGUAAUUAUAAGGUAAUGAGGGCUGAAUCCAGUUACUGGAAAGAACGAGCCUUGAGAGUAACUAGCCGAAGGCUGCAUUUAGUUCCUCUUCCUAGGACAUGUCUGGCAGCUCAGAGGGAGGUGAAGAGGCUGUUUACUAGCUAAACAGGCAGGUGGGUGGCAGGGGCAGCGAGUCAGGCAGGUCUUCACUGUUGAAUUACCAAUAAUCUCCGAGUGUCUGAAUCCACCAACAAGCAAGCAGGGCCCAAAUGGAGAAAGCCUGUUUGCAACAGCCCUUAUAAGAGACUUCUGUUGUUCUUGUCUGUCUAGCACCUCUUCUCCUUCUGCUGCCAACGGAACUACUUUUUAGUGGGGAACCCCCAACUUCCGAGAGUAGUGAGCGUGUGACCUGAGCCCAGUCAAUCAGAGUGCUCCAUUUCCUUGGUUUGAGGAUGGGCGGGAAACCUAGAAAGGCCAAUCAGAUUCUUCCUUGAGAUUUGAUAUUUCAGUGAGUAGUUGGGGGGAGCAGAGCUCUCUCUCAAUCUUGGGAUCACAAGCUGUAAAGACGAUGUAGACUGGAGUUGCUUUGUGUCACCCUUCCUGGAUGCAUGGGGAAAGCCAUCUGCAGUAAGAGAGAAUGAGCCCAAUAUUAAGAGAGAAUCAGAAAUGAAGAGGGAUGAGAGAUAGGGUCCUAAGGACAUUUCUUGGGCACUAAAUCCAGUCACAGCCAUCCCUGCUCUUUUGUGAGCCAAUAAGUUCUCUUUUACUUAAGCCAGUUUCAAGCCAAUUUCACUUGGGGUUCUGUCACUUGCCACGUAAGGAAAUCAGACUAAUAUGUUUGCUUACUUACUGGUUCGUAGCAAUACGUAUCCGUUGCCUCCAUCCACAGCGAGCCUGAAAUUUAUGUUUGGACUGAAAAUACUUGCUCAAGUCUGACCUCCAUUGCUCUUCAUGAGAACACACUGACCACCUGGGCGAGCCUACGGCCAGUGCCGCUGUCUGGCAAAAUCUCGGUGAGAUCAGAUCUGUGUCACUGCCCAGCCCUGCUUUUGACAUCUGCCUGUGCUUAUGAGCUCCCUGCUCCCUCUUUCCCCGUGAUCCUCUCCGACUGUGGAUAAAAUCCUCAGUCCUUUCCACUUUGACUCUUCCUUUUUGCCAGUAAGUUUCAAACCUACAACUCAAAUCCUGACCUUUCUCCUGAAACCAGAUACCUGUUUUUAAUUUCUAUUUCCAGGUUCAAUGAUCAGCUCACACUCAACAAGUCCGAAACAGAACUCAUCAGUCUCCUGGUACUGUUGAUGGCACUACCAUUGUGCCAGUCAUCUGCCCUUGACAAUCUCCACAUUAUUUGGGCUGCCCUUCUUUCCCUCAUCCUCCAUGUACACUGAGUCAUGGAGCAAAAUCCCUUUCCUUCAUAAUGUCUGCGUGUGCCAGAAGCUGCGUGAGCUUCUGAAGGUACAACAAAAAUCAAGAUGUGAUCCCUGACUUGAAGAGCUUGGAUCCUACCAGAGGAACAAUCCAAGGCAGAAAGUGCUGAGUGCCACAUCAGCGGCAGCAGAGAAAGGACUAAGGGAGCCUGGUAGAGACAGCUUCAUGUCUGCUAUUGGGGAUCAGGGAAGAGUCGUGGUAGAACAGCCACAGUGCAUCAUGAGAAAAGAGACCCAGGAGAGCAACUGACUGAAGUGCUCUUGGAAUGACGACUUCAGUUUGCUGGUGCAUUGGGUCAAAGCACCGGGGAAACAUGGUUGAGGACUGUAAUAGUGGUCAUGUUUUAUACUUCCUCUCUCUCUGUCUCUCUCGGUGCCCGGGCUGGAGAGAAGAACACAGUGGUUCCAUGCUCAGCAGAUGGGAGGUCGUCUAGCUUCCUAAGCCGGCACAAAGCAAUAAUAUUCCCGGGAAGAGAGACACUUGUUCUGAGGGCUCAAGUCAUCCUCUGGAGUCAUUGGCCAUUUCCUGCAGGCUGGGGAGGUGGUGACAGCCACGCAAAUGGUGGAGAUCAUCUUGAGUUUACCACUGGUCCAAGUCCAUGGAGUUGGGUUACUUGGAUAUGGGCACCCCCAUAUGUCUAACGCCUUCCAAGAUAUUAAGUGUCAUGUAAACGCAGCACUUCCCCUUCUGCCCAUGAGUGUCUGUUGUCACCUGUCAGAAGGCAAUGCCAUAGGCUGUUUAUUUGAUGUGGAGACAAGAUACCACAUCUUCCUGGAGCCUUUCAACUUCUUAUGUCGUGAUCCUGGACAGCAGCGGUGCUGCAAUAUCUGGAACUACCAAAGAACAUUAAUGGAAGAAUGAGGGAUUGUUGGGGACAUGACCUCAUAGGAUGGGUCUUGCACAUUUGGGUACAGCAGAGAUGUUUAAAGAUUUGGGAUCUAGAGGUACAAAUUGUCUUUCCAUGGUCAGAGAAAGGUCCUGGAGCUGGAUAGAACCUGACGGUCUGGUCUUCCCUACCAAAUUCUGCUGUGUGUAUGGGAAUGGCUACCCUUUAUGCUAGAGCCUGCCCCAAGGCUGGGUCAGCUCUACUUUAAAAACCAACUUGAAAUGGUGGAUGCUUGACAGACACUAUUAUCCCCACUCCAACGAUGAGAACACUGAGGUCAAGGAUUUGGCUCAAGGUCAUCCCGCAAGGUCUUGUUGGAGGCAGAAAUAGCAUCUGAGCCUUCACUCCUAAUCCAGCUCUCAUUGCUUGUUGCGGUGUGCCAUGGCUGAAGUUACACGAUGAGGCAUCUAUCUAAACCAGAGAGCCAAGUUCUGGGUUCAUGUUACGUCUUUCUAUUCCUUCACUUGGCCUCCCACUGCUGGCUCAGAGCAGUUCCUUGCUCUGAUCUAUUGGUUUUUUCUUAGGCUGGAGAGAGUUACCACACUUCCUGAUCCUGACCUCCAGUGGAGGAGGGUGGAACCUAACGACAUCAUUUGGAUCAUACUUGACUCCAGCGAUUGCUCCAAACUUGAAGAGCAGCGAGUGGAGUCUUCGUCUUUUAACCCUAUCAAGUGACCUGGUCUUUAAUGCGUGAUUGGCAAUAAUGGAGGAGAUUCAGACAACCAUCCCCUGUCACAGCUUCCUGCUGGAGAGGCAGCAAGAAGCUAGGACUUAAACUCUGAGGGCAGAGUAUCCUGGAUUCACACCCCGACUCUGUUGUUUCCUGGUUGUGUGGCCUUCGGCAAGUCCCUGAACAUCGCGGUAGCUCAAUUUCCUGGUUUGUAAGAUGGGUGAAAAGAAUUCCUUAGGAUGAGGUAAUCUGGGCAAAGUUCCUGUCAUGUAAGAGAUAUUCAGGAAAUAUUGGUUUCUUCACUCCUCCCCACCCCACACACGUGUUGAAUACAGUAACUUUAUUUUCACCACCACCUUACAAGAAACAAUGGCACGCCUAGGUAAGCUGAGUGACUCAAGAGCUAGCAAAAACUAAGUCUUUGGAGUUAGCUACGUUGCAUGCCAAGUGUAAAUUUCCCAUUAAUGGGCUUUAAGUAUAUUAAUGGGAGAAUUUUUGUGCUCCUUGGAUGGAAAAAAAAUACAACAUUUUGUGCCUCUGGUAUCUGAGAGGAAGCCCUGAGACAGAUGGGUUCCCAUAAGUUGUGCAUCGUGAAUGCAAGGAAACUUCAUUCUUCUUACACUACCAGGCAGUCGAUCCAAAAUGGGGAAAAACUCUUUACAUGAAAGCAUGCAAUUACAUGCCAUACCCUGCAAUUCUAAUUACUGAUGACUUAAAUUGAAGCACAGCCUUUUACAUAGGAGUUUUAUGAUCAAGAAUUAAGAAAUUUAAAAAUAUUAUGGGGCCGGUUGAUGGCGCAGCAGUUAAGUUUGCACAUUCCACUUUGAUGGCCCCAGGGUUCACCAGUUCAGAUCCCGGGUGGGGACACGGCACUGCUUGGCAAGCCAUGCUGUGGCAGGCGUCCCACAUAUAAAGUAGAGGAAGAUGGACAUGGAUGUUUGCUCAGGGCCAGUCUUCCUCAGCAAAAAGAGGAGGAUUGGCAGCAGGGCUCAUCUUCCUCAAAAAAAAAAAAAUAAAUAAAUAAAAAAUAAGCCCCUAGAUAGACUCUUACCUUUAAAUGUAAUCAGUUUGGAAUGAUGACUUCAAUACUUUGUUUUUGGUGAGGAAGAUUGUCCCUGAGCUAACAUCUUUGCCAGUCUUCCUCUAUUUUGUAUAUGGGAUGCUGCCACAGCAUGGCUCGACGAGUGGUGCUAGGUCCAUGCCCGGGAUCCAGAACCAUGAACCCCGGGCCAGUAGGGCGGAGAGUACAAACUUAACCACUACAUCAUCAGGCUGGACCCCUAGAUACUUUCUUAAAAUUUUGCAUCAGUACAUUCUACUACAAUUCUCCUCUUUUGUUUUUCCUCCCCAAGCAAAAAGCAGGUCUGCCCUACUCACUUUACGGUCUUCUAUAAAUUUAAUUAAAAUCUCCCUGUUUGUAACACACUUAGACUGGCAGUGGGCAAGAGGGACAGGUACAAAGCUUUGUGACAUAAUCUUGUCCUCACAGAGCUUACACUCUGGUCAGUUCUUAGAUGGGUAAUUGCCCAAAUUAACCAGGCCAGAGCAACUGAGGAAAAGUAGGGUGUUCCCUCUCUGUCUCUCUCUUUCUGAAUGAAGAAGCCAAUUAAUGUUCACCCUAAAAUUGAAUCCUGGAUUGUUGUAAAUAACUAGACUUUUCUCCCCAAAUCAGAAAAGAAAUAAAAGUGUCAAUCAUCAUUAUUUUUGAAGUUGUAUAUUAGGUAAAAGUUGCUUAAACUCUAAAUAAUCAUUAAACAUAUAUUUCAAGGAGAAAACAUAAUAGAUUUUCAUUUUUAUAUCUACUGGAAAAGCAGGGCUGCCUUUUUGGGCUAUGACAUUCCAAAUUCUCAUUUAUAUACGGGUAGGCACAAUGCCCUUCUGGUUCUGGAUGUGGAAGGUGACAUUGGAGCCAUCAAGUAUGUUGAUGGAUAUAUUAAACAUCAUCUGGCUAUAUACAAGUAACAGAUAUUCCUUCCAGCCAUACUACUCAUAUAUUAACAAAAUAUUUCCUAAGAGAGAGGAAGAAGAUGUUCCCAAUGUGCUGUCAAUUUGAUAUGAACUUCAAGUUGUAUUUCUUUUAUUUGUUUACUUAUUCACUCAUUUAGUCAUUCACCCAAGAUGUGUGUAAUGCCCAAUGUGCCAAGCCCUAUACCACAUGUUGAGUAUCAGAGACGAAUGUGAUACUGUAGCCGUACUAUAUGAACUAACAGUUUAAACAACAAUUCUUGCCUUGUGGUCCGCAGAUUCCCCCAAUGGGUCUGAAGUUGGGCCUUAGGGCAUCAAAAAAUCCCUUGAAAUUAAAUGG
rnacentral:lncRNA from 1 species